AACGCGAAGAACCUUACCUGGCCUUGACAUCUACGGAAUUCUUCAGAGAUGAGGAAGUGCCUUCGGGAACCGUAAGACAGGUGCUGCAUGGCUGUCGUCAGCUCGUGUCGUGAGAUGUUGGGUUAAGUCCCGCAACGAGCGCAACCCUUGUCCUUAGUUGCCAUCAUUAAGUUGGGAACUCUAAGGAGACCGCCGGUGACAAACCGGAGGAAGGUGGGGAUGACGUCAAGUCAUCAUGGCCUUUAUGGCCAGGGCUACACACGUGCUACAAUGGCAGGUACAGAGGGAAGCCAACGCGCGAGCGGGAGCCAAUCCCAGAAAGCCUGUCGUAGUCCGGAUCGGAGUCUGCAACUCGACUCCGUGAAGUCGGAAUCGCUAGUAAUCGCAGAUCAGCAUUGCUGCGGUGAAUACGUUCCCGGGCCUUGUACACACCGCUAGUC
rnacentral:rRNA from 1 species